GCAUUAUUCACUGACACUGUUUACGGGUACUAUUCACAGUGUGUGGACCUAUUUUCUGGCUUUUUUCCAACUGCUGGUCGUAUACCGCGCCUUUACCGAGACCUUGCUUUCAAUUUGGUUUGCUAUUUUUUGUUUUUCGAUACCCAUUUUUUCAAGCACUGUUUCAGUAGUUUUUCUUUUCCUCUUGAUUUAAGCUAGCUGAUGGAAAGAAGAUUGCUUCUAAAACAAAAU
rnacentral:misc_RNA from 1 species